AACGAGGGGAUGCAGGAAAAGGAAAUGCAUCUGUUGCCAGCAUGGAUUCUAUUAUCCAAUUGAGACAACUGAAUGCAGAUUCUUCAUUUCACAUAAUAACAAAACUUAAAAAUAUUCACUGCUCACAAUGUUCACUACAUGUAGAAAAAAUGGCAAAACUGGAAAGUGAGCUUUGCAAACUUAGAAAGGAGUAUUCUGGAAAAAAAAUAGUGAUAUCAAAAGUUACACAGGAAAAUGUAGUUUUAAAAGAAGAACUCCAAAAUUUGAGAUGGGCCUUAGAAAAAGAGAAGUAAUGAUUGUCUGUUAUUUGAACAAAAUAAGGACCAAUUAAAAGAAAAAUAAAAUGAAUAUAAUAAAGAAGUGA